GAGGGUACAGCUCAAGUGGUAGAGCAUAUGCUUAGCAUGCCUGAGGUCUGGGGUUCAAUUCCCAGUACCUCCU
rnacentral:tRNA from 1 species